CCGGGCACUCUGGAGGGACUGCCGGCGACAAGCCGGAGGAAGGUGGGGAUGACGUCAAGUCAUCAUGGCCCUUAUGUCCGAGGGCGACACACGUGCUACAAUGGCCGGCACAGCGGGAAGCGGAGGGCGACCCUGAGCGGAUCCCUUGAAGCCGGUCCCAGUUCGGAUUGCAGUCUGCAACUCGACUGCAUGAAGUUGGAAUCGCUAGUAAUCGCGGAUCAGCCAAGCCGCGGUGAAUACGUUCCCGGGCCUU
rnacentral:rRNA from 1 species